rnacentral:rRNA from 1 species
UACGUAGGGUGCGAGCGUUGUCCGGAAUUAUUGGGCGUAAAGGGCUCGUAGGCGGUUUGUCACGUCGGGUGUGAAAACUCGGGGCUCAACCCCGAGCCUGCUUCCGAUACGGGCAGACUAGAGGUAUGCAGGGGAGAACGGAAUUCCUGGUGUAGCGGUGAAAUGCGCAGAUAUCAGGAGGAACACCGGUGGCGAAGGCGGUUCUCUGGGCAUUACCUGACGCUGAGGAGCGAAAGUGUGGGGAGCGAACAGG